rnacentral:misc_RNA from 1 species
UCCGAGUUGACCCCGGCAGUCUCCCAUGAGUCCCCGCCAUUACGCGCUGGCAACAUGGAACGAGGGUUGCGCUCGUUGCGGGACUUAACCCAACAUCUCACGGCACGAACUGACGACAGCCAUGCAGCACCUGUGCAGCACCCUCGAAGGCGGUCCGCCUUUCGACGAACUUGCAGCUGCAUGUCAAGCCCUGGUAAGGUUCUUCGCGUUGCAUCGAAUUAAACCACACGCUCCGCCGCUUGUGCGGGCCCCCGUCAAUUCCUUUGAGUUUUAGCCUUGCGGCCGUACUCCCCAGGCGGGAUGCUUAAAGCGUUAGCUGCGGCACGGAGGGGGUCGACACCCCCCACACCUAGCAUCCACCGUUUAGGGCGUGGACUAC